CUGACAUCCUAGUGGGUGUGGGACGCAGGCAGCCUGGCGCCAGGCACCCCCGGCGAUGAUCCCCAAACCUCACCUUCCAGCUGGCGGCGCUCGCGGCGCUCCAGCUCACAAACUUGUUUGCUCGCCUUACGAGUAUGGUGUUUCCCUGGGGCUCCGUGGAGAGCGUUCCCCUUCCUUCCUUGGGCUGGUCCAGGCUUGGCUGGAAUCCAGGGCAGAAGAAAGGAAAUCAAUUAACCAGCUCUCUUGCAUAAUUUUGUGACGAGUCAAAACCACCUGUCUCUUUAUUUAAUUCUCCAAGAAUGAGAUUCAAUGGUAUCUGCUUCCAC
rnacentral:lncRNA from 1 species